rnacentral:rRNA from 1 species
CCGAGCGCGGCUAUCUGCAGUCGAGCGGACAGAAGGGAGCUUGCUCCCGGAAGUCAGCGGCGGACGGGUGAGUAACACGUAGGUAACCUGCCCCUUAGACUGGGAUAACUCCGGGAAACCGGAGCUAAUACGGGAUAAUAAAGAGAAUCACCUGAUUCUCUUUUGAAAGACGGUUUCGGCUGUCACUAAGGGAUGGGCCUGCGGCGCAUUAGCUAGUUGGUAAGGUAACGGCUUACCAAGGCGACGAUGCGUAGCCGACCUGAGAGGGUGAUCGGCCACACUGGGACUGAAACACGGCCCAGACUCCUACGGGAGGCAGCAGUAGGGAAUCUUCCGCAAUGGACGAAAGUCUGACGGAACAACGCCGCGUGAGUGAGGAAGGCCUUCGGGUCGUAAAGCUCUGUUGUGAGGGAAGAACAAGUACCGGCGUAACUACCGGUACCUUGACGGUACCUCACCAGAAAGCCACGGCUAACUACGUGCCAGCAGCCGCGGUAAUACGUAGGUGGCAAGCGUUGUCCGGAAUUAUUGGGCGUAAAGCGCGCGCAGGCGGCUUCUUAAGUCUGAUGUGAAAUCUCGGGGCUCAACCCCGAGCGGCCAUUGGAAACUGGGAAGCUUGAGUGCAGAAGAAGAGAGUGGAAUUCCACGUGUAGCGGUGAAAUGCGUAGAUAUGUGGAGGAACACCAGUGGCGAAGGCGACUCUCUGGUCUGUAACUGACGCUGAAGCGCGAAAGCGUGGGGAGCAAACAGGAUUAGAUACCCUGGUAGUCCACGCCGUAAACGAUGAGUGCUAGGUGUUAGGGGUUUCGAUGCCCGUAGUGCCGAAGUAAACACAUUAAGCACUCCGCCU